rnacentral:rRNA from 1 species
CUGGCGGCAGGCUUAACACCUGCAAGUCUGAGCGGAGAUGACAGUGCUUGCACCUUAUCUUAACGAGCGGACGAGGUGAGAUAAAUGCUUAUGAAUACUGCCCACAUUAGUGUGGGGACAACAUUCCGCAAAGGAAUGCUAAUACCGCAUACGUCCUACGUGGGGGAAAGCCGGGGAUCUUCGGACCUUGCGCUAAAUAGAAUGAGCCUUAAUCGUGAUUAGACUAGAUAUGGGUGGGGUAAAGGCCCUACCAACGGCGACGAUGUAGCGGGUCUGAGAGGAUGAUCCGCCACACUGCGACUGAGACACGACCCCACACUGGUACGGGAGGCAGCAGUGGUGAAUAUUGGACAAUGCGGUGAACACUGAUCCAGCCAGGCCCGCGAUGUGUGAAGAAGGCCUUAUGGUUGUAAAGCACUUUAAGCGAGGAGGAGGCUACUGAGACUAGUACUCUUGGAUAGUGGACGUUACUCGCAGAAUACGCACCGGCUAACUCUGUGCCAGCAGCCGCGGUAAUACAGAGGGUGCGAGCGUUAAUCGGAUUUACUGCGCGUAGAGCGUACGUAGCGACUUCUUACGUCGGAUGUGAAAUCCCCGAGC